GCCAAAAGCUCUAAAGCAACUUCUUUUUAUUAACAACAGUUAGACCACAAGGGAAACUGUCAGGCACUAGAUCACUCUUUCUUCAGUGCCAAAGGACCACAUUUGGAAUGCUGUGUACUGUUCUGGUUAGUUCACCUCAAAAAGGAUGUUGCAGAGUUGGAAACAGUUCAGAGAAGGUCAUCAAAAUUACCAACGUGAUGGAGCAACUCCCCUAUGAAGAAAAGCUGCAGCAUUUCGGACCUUUUUAUUUAGAGAAAAGGUGAGUAAGAGGCGAGGUGAUAGAAGUUUAUAAAAUGAUGAACGACAUGUUGUUGUUGUUUAGUCAUUUAGUCGUGUCCAACUCUUCGUGACCCCAUGGACCAGAACACUCCAGGCACUCCUGUCUGCCACUGCCUCCCGCAGUUUGUUCAAACUCAUGCUGGUAGCUUCUUACAAUCCAGAUUCCUAUGAAACAUUUUUCUUUACAGCAUUGGACUUUCCUUUCGCUUCCAGGCAUAUCCGCAACUGAGCGUCCUUUCGGCUUUGGCCCAGCCACUUCAUCAGCUCUGAAUCUACUUGUACUUGUCCUCCGCUCUUCCUCAGUAGCAUGUUGGACGCCUUCUGAGGGGCUCAUCUUCCAGCGUCACAACUUUUAUAUGCCUGUUGUCUUUGGCCAUGGAGUUUUCUUGGCAGGGAUACUGGAGUGGCUUGCCGGUUCCUGCUCCAGGUGAAUCACGUUUCGUCAAAACUCUCCACUAUGACCUGUUAAUCUUGGGUGCCCUGCUCGGCAUAGUUCAUAGCUUCUCUGAGUUAUUCAAGCCCCUUUGCCACGGCAAGGCAGUGCUCCAUGAAGGGGAUGAAUGACAUAGAGAAAGUAUUGGGCAGGGCAUAUUUUAUACUUUCUCGAUGAAUGACAUAGAGAAAGUAUAAAAUAUGCCCCGUCCCACACAAUCGAUCACAGGAUAUGAUGCAUUAACACCAUUUGAAAGUAUACCUGAAGGAGCGUCUCCACCCCCAUCGUUCAGCCCGGACACUGAGGUCCAGCACUGAGGGCCUUCUGGCGGUUCCCUCAUUGCGAGAAGUGAGGUUACAGGGAACCAGGCAGAGGGCCUUCUCGGUAGUGGCACCCACCCUGUGGAACGCCCACCCUUCAGAUGUGAAGAAAAUAAGCAGCUAUCUUAUCUUUAAAAGACAGCUGAAGGCAGCCCUGUUUAGGGAAGCUUUUAAUAUUUAACACUGUAUUGUUUUUAACACUCGAUUGGGAGCCUCCCAGAGUGGCUGAGGAAACUCAGCCAGAUGGGCGGGGUAUAAAUAAUAAAAUGAUCAUUAUUAUUAGUAUUAUAAUGGCAAUGCCUAUCAACGUGAAGGAGCCCUCAAAUAUUUUACAGGGGUGGGCAAAGACCCCCUUGGCCCCUAGGAGUUAUCUCUCUCAUGAUGCAAGAACUCAUGGCCUACCAAUGAAGCUGAACGUUGGAAGAUUCAGGACAGAUGAAAUAAAUUACUUAUUUACUCAGCGCAUAGUUAAACUAUGGAACUCACUUCUGCAGGAGGCAGGGACGGCCAUCAACUUGGAUGGCUUUAAAAGAGGAUUAGACCAACUCACGGAGGAGACAGCUAUUGUUGUUGUUUAGUCAUUUAGUCGUGUCCGACUCUUCGUGACCCCAUGGACCAGAGCAUGCCAGGCACUUCUGUCCUCCAUUGUCUCCCGCAGUUUGGUCAAACUCAUGCUGGUAGCUUUGAGAACACUGUCCAACCAUCUCGUCCUCUGUUGUCCCCUUCUCCUUGUGCCGUCCAUCUUUCCCAACAUCAGGGUCUUUUCCAGGGAGUCUUCUCUUCUCAUGAGGUGGCCAAAGUCUUGGAGCCUCAGCUUCAGGAUCUGUCCUUCCAGUGAACACUCAGGGCUGAUUUCCUUCAGAAUAGAUAGGUUUGAUCUUCUUGCAGUCCGUGGGACUCUCAAGAGUCUCCUCCAGCACCAUAAUUCAAAAGCAUAAAUUCUUCGGCGAUCAGCCUUCUUUAUGGUCCAGCUCUCACUUCCAUACAUCACUACUGGGAAAACCAUAGCUUUUACUAUACGGACCUUUGUUGGCAAGGUGAUGUCUCUGCUUUUUAAGAUGCUGUCUAGGUUUGUCAUUGCUUUUCUCCCAAACUAUUGUUGGCUACAAGCUAUUAUGAGUAUACUCUACUGCCCCAGUUGGGAGUCAGCAAUUCUUCUAAAUACCAGUUGCUGGAUACCACAGGAGGGAAGAGUGCACUUGUGUUCGUAUCCUGCUUGCUGGUUUCCCACAGGGAUCUGGUUGGCCACCGUGAGAACAGGAUGCUAGACCAGAUGGGCCAUUGGCCUGAUCCAGCAGACUCUUCUUGUGUUCUUAAUCAUUCUUAUCUUCUUGAUCAUCUGGUUGCCCUUCUCCAAACCUUUCCAAUAUCCAGAAAUGGUGAGACCUUUCUUUUGUCAUCCUGGUUCCAGGUUGUCCACUUUGCUAUCCAUCAUUAGUCUCACAUCAAGCAGACCCAUUUAGAAUACCAAUACCCAUUAGCUUAAAGGUAAAGGGACCCCUGACCGCGGACGACUCUGGGGUUGCAGCACUCAUCUUGCUUUACUGGCUGAGGGAGCCGGCAUACAGCUUCCGGGUCGUGGCCAGCAUGACUAAGCCGCUUCUGGAGAACCAGAGCAGUGCACAGAAAUGCCGUUUACCUUCCUGCCAGAGUGGUACCUAUUUAUCUACUUGCACUUCGACGUGCUUUCGAACUGCUAGGUUGGCAGGAGCAGGGACUGAGGAAUGGGAGCUCACCCUGUUACGAGGAUUUGAACAGCCGAUCUUCUGAUCAGCAAGCCCAAGGCUCUGUGGUCUAGAUCACAGCGCCACCCAUGUCCCUGUAUGAACAUUAGGAACACCCUAUACUGGCAUUGUAGCUAUCCAGAGAAUAGAAGUGAAGAACCCGCAUCCACCCAUUAGCUUAGGUUCAUUCAAUUUAAUGAGUCAGUUUGGAGUAAAACCUAAUUGGCUGUAACUCAUGAAAUAUAAAGGAAACCAGCACCUGAAACACAGAACAAGCAGCAAUUAUAGGAUAAAGGCAUAUGGAAACCUCAGGAGGGAUGUCCAGCUAAAUAAAUUGUGUGCAGUGUCACAAUGUAUUUGGAUGGCAUGCAUAUCUGUGGUAUGAUAAGGUUAAAGCACAUAAAGCGUUUAAAAACCAUAUUGUCAGAAAAGCACUGUUUAAUGUCUGGAUAAGAUAUAAGGACUUGCUAGAAAAUAAAACCCCAAGAUGGUUGUCACCAAUGGAAGCAAAGGCUCAGAAAAAACUCAAUAUGGAGGCCAAAUGGCCGAAUUAUUGGGAAAUUCUGGAACAAGAGGGAGACAGAUUAAAACUGCAGAGUUUUGAAAAAUUAAAAAACAGAGUGCGAGACUGGCUCCAUUAUUAUCAAAUAAUGGAGGCAUAUAAUUUGGACAAAAAACUUGGCUUCCAGGUGGAAAAAUCAAAAUUGGAAACAGAAUUGUUAGACCCCAAAGUUAAGAAUCUGUCAAGAAUGUAUAACUUGCUGUUGAAAUGGAAUACUCAGGAUGAAACGGUGAAAUCUGCUAUGAUUAAAUGGGCACAAGAUGUUGGACAUAACAUUAUGAUAGCUGACUGGGAACAGUUAUGGACCACAGGUAUGAAGUUUACGGCAUGUAAUGCCUUAAAAGAGAAUCUAAUGAAAAUGAUCUACAGGUGGUACAUAACACCAGUCAAGCUUGCAAAAAUCUACCAUUUGCCCGAUAAUAAAUGCCGGAAAUGUAAUGAGACUGAAGGUACAUUCUUUCACCUUUGAUGGACAUGCCCAAGGAUUAAGACUUUCUGGGAGAUGAUCUAUAAUGAAAUGAAAAAGGUAUUUAAAUAUACCUUUCUGAAGAAACCAGAGGCUUUUCUCCUGGGCAUGGUCGACCAAUUGGUGCCAAAGAAGGACAGAACUUUCUUUAUGUAUGCCACAACAGCAGCAAGAAUACUUAUUGCAAAGUAUUGGAAGACACCAGAUCUACCCACUCUGGAAGAAUGGCAGAUGAAGGUGAUAGACUACAUGGAACUGGCAGAAAUGACUGGCAGAAUCCGAGACCAGGGAGAAGAGUCGGUGGAAGAAGAUUGGAAAAAAAAUAAAGUAUAUUUACAGAAAUAUUGCAAAAUUAAUGAAUGUUAGAAGGAUGCUGAAAUGAAGUUAUAUGGCUUUAGCAGAAAUGUUAUAAAGAAUUAAGUAAAAAUAGAUUGUUAAUGGGCCAAAGUGGAAAAUUUAAGGUUAGAUUGUGUUAAGAUAAAUUAUAGAACAAAAAUUGAGAAAGAUGGAAAGGAUUUGCUGAAAUAGCUAAUUGAACUAGAAUACAAAAAAGGGAGGUGUGAGGAGGUCGAUGAAACAGGUAAAUGAAAGAUAAAGAUAUGGAAAUAUUGGAUGUGUUUUUAAAUGUUUUUGUUUUUCUUGUUGUUUUGCUGUAUUGUUUUUUGUUUUUCUUUUUUUUUGAUGUAUUGUAAGGUAUUGCUUUGCUUUGUUUAACUUUUCAUUGUUUCUUUCUUCUUUUUUCUGUAAUUUUUAAACCUCUAAUAAAUAUUAUUUUAAAAAAAUAAAUAAAUUGUGUGCAGUGUCUGGAGGGAGAGGGAGAGAGUUCAGCUGCUGAAAGAGAUAGCUGCAAGAAAUACCCAUUUGCAAUGUUUCCCACUCGGGUGCAGAAACGUAUAGGUUUAUUUCAACAUUGCAUGGGCAUUGCAACUCUAUAAGUAGAGGGAACCUCCUAGGUUCAUUCAGAGUCAACUUCCCUCUGCCUUUGAACGUCUUCCCCCAGCAGUCAGAGAGAUCUCAGAGGAACCCCUAGCCAUGAGGCUCCUUUAUCUCAGCUUUGCUGUGGUCAUUCUUGCCUUCAGUGUUGCUGCAGGUAAGUGGGCAGCUCAGGCUGGGAACUGAAAAGACAGGACCUGUGAGAACAUGCAUUUAAAAACUGAGUGGUUGUAAUUGUGAUGGAUCUACAGGGGAAGGUAAUCCCUGCUGGGACCAGUAUCCUUAAAAAAAAAAAAAGGAAGAAUCCUACUAAGUUACCACCACAGGCUGACCCUGACCUGAAGACUGUUGGGCAAGGGGUAAUUGGUCUUUUUUGAGCUGGGGACCACAUUGACCCAUGGUCAACCCUCCAAGAUAUUGAAGAUUGCUUCCUAGAGCCAAUUGGUAGCUGCUCACUUUUGCUGAGCACACUCCUUUGUUGCAUAUUUAGCAGAUUAAUUGUGCUGCAGAAAGCGUGCUGGGGAAACAAUGAAGGAAUGCAAAAAAUUAUUUUGCUUGGCUUGAAUUACAAAAACAAAAACUCCUCUUACAUUAAAUCUGUAAGUAUGACCCAUUCACCAGGGUACUGAGAGAGGUACACACUGCUCUUUAUACACCAUACCCAAUCACUGACACAACUUAAUUAACGCAACUUAACAGCACCUGCUAUACUGCGUCACAGCGGUAAAACUAGGUCAUGAUAUUUACUCUGGCCUUUAAAGAGAUACGCAUCUUGUGAAACAAUAAUGAACCUUAAUAUUUAAAUAAAGCAUUCAACACCCUUCACUUGCCCCCUAGUAACUACGUUCUCUUUUAUCUAAACUACUCUUGCCUCACAAAUAUACCCAUUGUUUUUCUUCCAAUAACCAUUCAUAUAUAUAUAAUAAUAAUAUGUGCAUUUGAAUCUGAGGUCUGAGGUCUGGACAGUGGGAGAGAAUGAGGAGAGGCCAGCUCCUUUCUAAAAUUAAUUAAUUUAUUAAUUUAUUGGGGUAUGUGCUGCUGUUUUGUUUGUUUGUUUGUCUUGGUAAAUCUAUCAAAUGUAGUUUUCAAGUGCAAACCAACCUAGAAAUGUGCACAUUUUUAUUACCAUCACGGGACCCUAAAGGCUUUCUCCUUUUUCCACGUAGGUCAUGCACAUAUGGAAGGGAGACUAAGGCCCUGCAAUGGCGGUCGGGGAUACUGCCUGGAUAUUCAGUUCCCGUGCCCCUCAGGCCUUCAAUUCAUUAACAACACCUGUCCUAACCCAACGAUGUUUUCUUGCUGUACUCCAGUCCAGUGAAGAACUGAGCGAGAAGCCAAAAACCUGUUGUCCUUUCCCACUACCAUCAUUCAGAAAAAGAAUCCGUCGUCGCACUCUGUUCAAUAAAUAAACCAUUGAUUCAAGGUCACUGC